UCUUGUGCUGUAAGGGUGUCUGCAGACUGAUUUUUUCUUGAUUUGAUGUAUUGUCAUUGCAUAUAUCAUUAUCUCCAAGUCUGAUUAGUGUUUGAUUUUGCACAGAUUUGUUUGGGAUCUGCUUUGAAGCAAGCAUCGUUCCUUGUGGUCACAGGUAAAUUUGCAGUCCUGUCUAUUAAUGGUUGGUUCAGAACAUUAGGAGCACAGUGACAAGUUUCAAUUUUAAGGAUUUAUAAUACCCCAUUUCCGCUGGUUUUUCCCCAAUAUGUCAAUGUGUGAUGUGUCUAAGCCUCAUUAUUUCCUUUUGUUAUAGUCAUUAUUCAGCAUGAAGGGGAGCCUUGGCGCAGUGGUAAAGCUGCUGCCUUGUGACCAUGAGGUCAUGGGUUCAAGUCCUGGAAACAGCCUCUUACAGAAAUGUAGGGAAAGGCUGCGUACUAUAGACCCAAAGUGGUUGGACCCUUCCCUGGACCCUGCGCAAGCGGGAGCUACAUGCACCAGGUUGCCCUUUUAUAGUCAUUAUUCAGCAUGGAGCAGAACUGCACACUUAUCAAUGUAUAAUUUAUAUAAAGCUUGAUAUAUUGCAGAGUUGUGCUUCCAUCAUUUCCUAAUAUAUACUGAAAUUAAAAGUUCAGCUUCUAUUUUCCUUAAUAUGCUUUAAUUCCUAUGAUCAACGGCUACAGAUUUCUUCUAACACUGUAAUGCUAGGCUGGAGUUUGAGGUUUUCACUACUGCUCUCAUCUUCGAUGCCAUCUCAAACUACUAAAAUUUUAAAAUUAUGUUUCAUUUUCACCAGGAUUAGGUUCUUUUAUCCAUGUGGUGGUAUGGUUCAAAUGCGAGAACAGAUGCCAUGUAUUGCCAUGACAUACAUUGAACUUUGAGUUUUCGUCAAUGAUGUUGUUAUUUUUAUCUAUUUGUAGCGUCAUAUAAAUGAGUUUUGACAUGGUCAUUUUACAGGACGAGUAAACAAUGGUUGGUCGGUAGAAGCUUCACUUGCGACUGUGUGCCUUUCUGCCUUAAGAAGUUCUUUUCAUUGUCGAAGAACAACAUAAUGUUUAUGGGCCAGUUUUCAUGUGGUAUAGAAAUAUCAGUGAAUGUAGCAGAUAUUUUGCAUGAUCUUUAAAGCAUAGUCUCACACGGAGAACAGUCACAUUGUGUCAUAAGGUGAUAACUAUAAAGUCCACACCAUGUGAAAGACAUUAUAAAUUUAUGCAUUCAUAGGCUGUUUUCUACUAUGAGCACUUGAUUGUCUUGUGACUGUAGCCAUGGAUAAAGUAGAACUUAAUUUGAUGUGUAAUAUCAUGACGUGAGAUGUAGUUCUCCUGUUGAAUUAAUUCCAUUUAGAACCCCUGUGCUCGAG
rnacentral:lncRNA from 1 species